rnacentral:rRNA from 1 species
GACGAACGCUGGCGGCGUGCUUAACACAUGCAAGUCGAACGAUGAAGAAAAGAAUUGAAGCUUCGGCAGAAAUUCAUUUCGGAUUAGUGGCAGACGGGUGAGUAACGCGUGAGCAACCUACCUCUUACAAAGGGAUAGCCUCGGGAAACCGGGAUUAAUACCAUAUAACAUUGCGACGAAGCAUUUCGAUGCAAUCAAAGCUACGGCGGUAAGAGAUGGGCUCGCGUCCGAUUAACCAGAUGGUGAGGUAACGGCUCACCAUAGUAACGAUGGGUAACCGGCGUGGGAGGGUGAACGGUCACACUGGAACUGAGGCACGGUCCAGACUCCUACGGGAGGCAGCAGUGGGGAAUAUUGCACAAUGGAGGGAACUCUGAUGCAGCGACGCCGCGUGAGUGAUGAAGGAAUUCGUUUCGUAAAACUCUGUUCUAUGGGAAGAAAAGGACGGUACCAGAGGAGAAAGCACCGGCUAAAUACGUG